GUCCAUGCCGUAAACGAUGUCAACUAGGUGUUGGGGAACUUGAUUCCUUAGUGCCGCAGCUAACGCAUUAAGUUGACCGCCUGGGGAGUACGGUCGCAAGACUAAAACUCAAAUGAAUUGACGGGGCCGCACAAGCGGUGGAGCAUGUGGUUUAAUUCGAUGCAACGCGAAGAACCUUACCUACUCUUGACAUCCAGAGAAUCCUGUAGAGAUACGGGAGUGCCUUCGGAAGUCUGAGACAGGUGCUGCAUGGCUGUCGU
rnacentral:rRNA from 1 species